rnacentral:rRNA from 1 species
AGGGCACCACCAGGAGUGGAGCCUGCGGCUUAAUUUGACUCAACACGGGAAAACUCACCCGGCCCGGACACUGGAAGGAUUGACAGAUUGAGGGCUCUUUCUUGAUUCAGUGGGUGGUGGUGCAUGGCCGUUCUUAGUUGGUGGAGUGAUUUGUCUGGUUAAUUCCGAUAACGAACGAGACUCUAGCCUACUAAAUAGAUCGUCGGCUUACAAACGCCGGCGAGACUUCUUAGAGGGACAGGCGGUGAUUCAACCGCACGAAACAGAGCAAUAACAGGUCUGUGAUGCCCUUAGAUGUCCGGGGCCGCACGCGCGCUACACUGAAGUGAUCAGCGUGCUUUUUCAACCUACUCUGUCAAGAGUGGGGAACCCAAUGAACCUUCUUCGUGAUUGGGAUAGGGGAUUGUAAUUAUUCCCCUUGAACGAGGAAUUCCCAGUAAGCGCGAGUCAUAAGCUCGCGUUGAUUACGUCCCUGCCCUUUGUACACACCGCCCGUCGCUACUACCGAUUGAAUGUUUU